AUGGGAGGACAGACCCUGUCUCACUGCUGCCACCUGUGUUGCUUUUGCUGUGCUCACCCCUUCUGUCUUCAUGUCACCGUGUGGAAGAACUUGCCCUUGUUGCCUGAAGAUGCUGCACGCAGUGAGGGCUCCCUGUUAUCCAAGGGUCUCUGGCAGUUUGGUGCCAUUGCCACUGUGGGCAUGUUCUGGUGUUACGCCAGGGUGCGCCACGUUUGUCACCAGCGAAGGAUGAGGCAGCACUCAAUUUGUUUCCUCAGCCAGAGGUACAAGCACUGUCUCAUUUUGUUCCUUAUGCCUGAAUAUGUCCAGAAUGCAAGGACUUGUACUAAAGAUGAUCAGGUUGUAGUCUGAAAUCUCUGCUUUGUUUCAAUACAUGCCAUUGUGUGCCAACUUCAUGCCGUGCUUCAGUUGGUCUUGGGGCCUUCUGAAUCUCUUACUCAGCCCGUCAGAAAGUUUCUACUUCUAAUUGAAGACAAUCUGGAAGUUGUGAAGAAGGCAAAAUCAC
rnacentral:lncRNA from 1 species